CUGCAACUCCGUCGGCUCCUCGACGGCGGCGAACAAGGUAUAACGACCGUUUUAUUAACGUACAAACUUUACUUUAUUUAAAAAAGGAUCGACCGAUUAUAAACUCACAAGCUUUUAUUUUAGUAGUUUUAAAAAACGCGGUCUAUCGUUCGCUAACUUUUAAAGAGACCGUUUGUUCUGCGCACGGUGUAUUUAUCCCUUUUUUUCCGCGAUGGCCGUUGCGCCAUCGCGUUACGCAGCGAACGUUGCCCUUUCUGAAAUGUUCGAAAUUCGAAGAUCGAUCUUGUCACCCUAUCUAAACGUCUAAACCUAUCUCCUGUCAUUUAGCUUGUUUACAUUCCGCAUGCCAUAAUAAGGGACACGCGGUUUGUCGGCACGGUUACUCGUAACAUUCUCCCCCCCGUUACGCGCCGCACUUGAUUGUCAGCAGCUCGAUACACCUUUACAAUUCGUCCCCUAGGCCAGCAGUUCCGCGGGUUGUUUCCAUCCGCAACCAAUACCAAGUCGCCUUCAUCUAAUGGUUUCGUCUGCUUGUACCAUCUCGAUCGCUUCGUUAGUGUUGGAUUUACGCACGGACGGAGUGGAAUCGUCAAAGGGUAGCGGAGGCUUGCUUCCGUUCGAACUGCCUAAAAUGAAAUGAUUUGGCGUUAAGGGAGAUUCAGCUUCAUCUUCGAGUGGAAUUUCUGUCAGGGGUCGUGAGUUAACAAUCAGCUCCACUUCACUCAACCUAGCCCGUAAUAGCUCAUCGGUGGGGUGAUGAGGAAGGUCAAAGGAGGCAAGCGUCUUUUUUAUUGAUUGGAUCAAUCUCUCCCAUGACCCACCAAAAUGCGGUGCUGCAGGUGGGUUAAAAACCCACUUUGUCCCGGGUUGCACAAACUCUGCCAUCAACCGGUCCACAUCAAUCAGUGCAGCAGCUUCCUUCAGUUCACGAGAUGCGCCUACAAAAUUGGUGCCUCUAUCACUAACGAACUCCAGUGGCAGUCCCUUUCUAGCGGUGAAAUUGCGGAUCGCGAAAAUACACGAGUCUGUAGAAAGACUA